AUGAGAGACUCCCUGUAAAUCUCAUUUGCAGCUAGUUUUGGCUUCAUUUGCAAUAGCAGCCAUACCAAAAGUUAUCAUGAUCAAUUACAACUUGACAUAAGAAACUAUAGCAGCACUUCUCUAUAGGUAUGUAGAAAGACUUUUUGAAAGACAGACCAUACAGUUACAGUACAAGCCUCUUGGGACACUAAUUACGCAGAGUUGGUAAUAUGAAUCAUGAUGACAUGGAUGGAAUUUGAAGCAGAGACGGUUAAGGGACAGCCUCAUCUCAUUGAGUGCAUUGAGCCAUCUGCAGGUAGCUUUCUGAAAUGCUCCUCACACGUAUGGAGACUUCAUCUUUUCCCUCAUCAAAAAUCAGGGACUAAACUGUGAUUCCUAUGCACACAAGA
rnacentral:lncRNA from 1 species